GAUGAACGCUAGCGGCAGGCCUAAUACAUGCAAGACGAACGGUAAGUUGAGUAGCAAUACUUAGCCAAGAGUGUCGUACGGGUGCGUAACACGUAUGCAACCUACCCUAUACAGGAGGAUAGCCUAGGGAAACCUGGAUUAACCCUUCAUAGUAUUAUUGGAUGGCAUCAUUUGAUAAUUAAAACUGAGGUGGUAUAGGAUGGGCAUGCGUCUGAUUAGUUAGUUGGCGGGGUAAUGGCCCACCAAGACGAUGAUCAGUAGGGUUCUGAGAGGAAGAUCCCCCCACACUGGCACUGAGAUACGGGCCAGACUCCUACGGGAGCAGCAGUAGGGAAUAUUGGUCAAUGGAUGCAAGUCUGAACCAGCCAUGCCGCGUGCAGGAAGAAGGCCUUCUGGGUUGUAAACUGCUUUGCCAGGGAUAAAUUCAUGCGUGGAAACUGAAGGUACCUGGU
rnacentral:rRNA from 1 species